rnacentral:rRNA from 1 species
UACGGAGGGUGCGAGCGUUGUCCGGAAUCACUGGGCGUAAAGGGCGCGUAGGCGGUUGGGGAAGUCCGUGGUGAAAGCUCGUGGCUCAACUACGAGUCGGCCAUGGAUACUCCUUGACUUGAGCACUGUAGAGGCAGAUGGAAUUCCGGGUGUAGCGGUGGAAUGCGUAGAGAUCCGGAAGAACACCGGUGGCGAAGGCGGUCUGCUGGGCAGUAGCUGACGCUGAGGCGCGAAAGCUAGGGGAGCAAACAGG